rnacentral:rRNA from 1 species
GAUGAACGCUGGCGGCGUGCUUAACACAUGCAAGUCGAACGAUGAAGCUCAGCUUGCUGGGUGGAUUAGUGGCGAACGGGUGAGUAACACGUGAGUAACCUGCCCUUAACUCUGGGAUAAGCCUGGGAAACUAGGUCUAAUACCGGAUAGGAGCGCCUACCGCAUGGUGGGUGUUGGAAAGAUUUAUCGGUUUUGGAUGGACUCGCGGCCUAUCAGCUUGUUGGUGAGGUAAUGGCUCACCAAGGCGACGACGGGUAGCCGGCCUGAGAGGGUGACCGGCCACACUGGGACUGAGACACGGCCCAGACUCCUACGGGAGGCAGCAGUGGGGAAUAUUGCACAAUGGGCGAAAGCCUGAUGCAGCGACGCCGCGUAAGGGAUGACGGCCUUCGGGUUGUAAACCUCUUUCAGUAGGGAAGAAGCGAAAGUGACGGUACCUGCAGAAGAAGCACCGGCUAACUACGUG